UGUAAAAAUUUUCAUCUAUUUAUCUUGUUAAAAACUAGCGUAGUUGACGAAAUAACCAAACAAUGAUACGUGACAUGUAUCUCAUGAUAAUAUACAGGGACGGAUUUUUAACAAUAGAAAUGGAUGAAAAUUUUAAUA
rfam:Gossypium hirsutum cultivar TM-1 unplaced genomic scaffold scaffold445.1, whole genome shotgun sequence